AAUAUCCGUUCUGUAUUAUAGGUUUAUAUACUCAAACAUUCAGUUCAUAUACUCACUAUAUAACUAUAUAACUCUAUUUAUAAACUACUGUAACAUGUAUGGAACCAUCCCAAUGAAGUAGAGGUAAAUAAAAUGUCCUCUCUGGUGUUUGACAACUUGA